rnacentral:tRNA from 1 species
GGGGUUGUGGCUCAGUGGUAGAGCGCUCACCUAUCAUGUGCAAGGCCCUGGGUUCGAUACUCAGCACCA